rnacentral:sRNA from 1 species
GAGAACGAGGAGAAGAGCAUCUUCCGCAUCCCCUGGAAGCACGCGGGCAAGCAGGACUACAACCGCGAGGAGGACGCCGCGCUCUUCAAGGCUUGGGCACUGUUUAAAGGAAAGUUCCGAGAAGGCAUCGACAAGCCGGACCCUCCCACCUGGAAGACGCGCCUGCGGUGCGCUUUGAACAAGAGCAAUGACUUUGAGGAACUGGUUGAGCGGAGCCAGCUGGACAUCUCAGACCCAUACAAAGUGUACAGGAUUGUUCCUGAGGGAGCCAAAAAAGGAGCCAAGCAGCUCACCCUGGAGGACCCGCAGAUGUCCAUGAGCCACCCCUACACCAUGACAACGCCUU